rnacentral:rRNA from 1 species
UAACACGUAGGUGACCUACCCCAAAGAGGGGGAUAACGGCCCGAAAGGGCUGCUAAUACCCCAUGUGAUUAGCGAUUCAUUUCGUUAAUGAAAGCUUCCGCAAGGAGUGUGCUUUGGGAGGGGCCUGCGGCGAAUUAGAUUGUUGGUGGGGUAAUGGCCUACCAAGUCGAUGAUCCGUAGCUAGUCUGAGAGGACGAUUAGCCACACUGGCACUGACACACGGGCCAG